rnacentral:rRNA from 1 species
UACGUAGGGGGCAAGCGUUGUCCGGAUUUAUUGGGCGUAAAGAGCGUGUAGGCGGCUAGAUAGGUCCGUUGUGAAAACUCGAGGCUCAACCUCGAGACGUCGAUGGAAACCAUCUGGCUAGAGUCCGGAAGAGGAGAGUGGAAUUCCUGGUGUAGCGGUGAAGUGCGCAGAUAUCAGGAAGAACACCCGUGGCGAAGGCGGCUCUCUGGUACGUGACUGACGCUGAGACGCGAAAGCGUGGGGAGCAAACAGG